rnacentral:sRNA from 1 species
ACUCUAAAACAAAUUAAAUAAGCCCAGAUGCAUUUCUUUAAAUUUUAUUUUGAAUUCAUCAUUUGUCAAAAUAUGGUUAUCAAUAAUGCAUGCUUAUAAUAUGAAGAAUGCUUUAUCCAUGUCUUAUUUUUCAUAUUACAUAACAUUCUUAUUCUUUUAACAGCUCCAGGACAGCCUCAGAAUAUUACUUGUAGAAGUGAAGCUGCACAUCAAGGAGUAAUUACCUGGAAUCCCCCUCAAAGAUCAUUUCAUAAUUUUACCCUCUGUUAUAUGAAGGAGACAGAAAAAAAUUGCCUCAAUCUGGAUAAAAACCUGAUCAAAUAUGAUUUGCAAAAUUUGAAACCUUAUACGAAAUAUGUUUUAUCAUUACAUGCCUACAUCGUUGCAAAAGUGCAACGUAAUGGAAGUGCUGCAACGUGUCAUUUCACAACUAAAAGUGCUCCUCCAAGCCAGGUCUGGAACAUGACUGUCUCCAUGACAUCAGAUAAUAGUAUGCAUGUCAAGUGUAGGCCUCCCAGGGACCGUAAUGGCCCCCAUGAACGUUACCAUUUGGAAGUUGAAGCUGGAAAUACUCUGGUUAGAAAUGAGUCACAUAAGAAUUGCGAUUUCCGUGUAAAAGAUCUUCAAUAUUCAACAGACUACACUUUU